GCCGUCGCCGCUGCGCAGGCGCGCCGAGGCGCGGUGGCUUGUGGGUAGCGGGAGCGCGAGGGGAUGCCUCGCUAGGCGUCCGGCCCCCGGGGCAUCCGCGAGCGGGCCGGCCAAUGGAUGGGGUAUCCGCGGUGGCUUUCCCGGACGCAGAUUAGGGUGGUGAAGUUCUCACGAGAUGAAUACCUUCCUUUUUUGUAUAUCCUCGUACUUAUAAAGCCAGGCGUCCUUUUUGAAUUGAAAAGACAAAAUUAACAGAAUGUAAACGAUUUUCUCAGAAGGCAGCAUCACAGCUGUGAAAGGGGAAUAUUUGUCGACAGUAUUUAAGGAAUUGUGGCAAACAGAAGAGAUCACAGAAGAGUGGAUAUAAGCAAGUGUACUACACUAAAAAAGGGGGAAAAGUGGAUCCCAUACAUCACAAACUGCCUAUAUAAUAUCCAUUCAUCCGAUGAUGAAUAUCUGGAUUGCUUCCACCUCCCAGCUAUUGUGAAUAGUGCUGCUGUGAACAUAGAGAUCACAAGUAGGCAGAGAGGCAGGCAGAGAGAGAGGAAGGGAAGCAGGCUCCCCGCGGAGCAAAGAGCCCGAUGCGGGGCUCGAUCCCAGCACCCUGGGAUCAUGACCUGAACCAAAGGCAGAGGCUUUAAUGCACUGAGCCACCCAGGCACCCCAAGGCUGUCAAUUUUUUUUUAAAGAUUUCAUUUAUUUUUAGAGAGAGAGAGCACGCACACGUGAGUGUGAGCAGGGGGAAGGGCAAGGGGAGAGGAAGAGAGAAAGAAGCAGACUCCCCACUGAGUGCAGAGCUAGAUCUGGGGCUCGAUUUCACAAUCCUGAGAUCACAACAGGAGCUGAAAUCAAGACUCUGGGCCUCUGGGGCACCUGGGUGGCUCAGUGGUUUAAGGCUCUGCCUUCAGAUCAGGUCAUGAUCUCAAGGGUUCUGGGAUCUAGCCCCGUAUCAGUCUCUCUGCUCGGCAGGGAGCCUACUUCCACCUCUCUCUCUGCCUGCUCUGCCUGCUUGUGAUUCUCUCUGUCAAAUAAAUAAAUAAAAUCUUAAAAAAAAAAAAAAGAAGAAGAAGAAGCUGGAGCUCAACAACAGCAACAAAAACAACAAAGGGAAGAAGAAAGAGGAGGAGGAGAAAAAAAGAAAAAAGCAAUUUAUACUAGACAGUGGUGUCCCCAGAGCAGCAGCUCAAACCAUCACCUUGAGAUUUCCUCCCAAGACUGACAAACAGGAACGUGUGAGAAGGAAUAACUGUUCUGCCUGCAAGGAGAGGAUAAAAUAAUAUCCAUUUGAAGACUGUUGAUAACUCUGUGUUUGAAAAUUUAAUGACUAGAGGUGAACUUACUAUGAAACUAAUGAAGUUGGGCUUACAUAUGGCCUUGCAAAAGGCCUUGGGAGGGGCCCUAGAAAUGUGUCCUCAUAGUCAUAUUUGUUUGUAAAAUUUUCAAAAGUAAUACAUUUUAACCACAGCUAACUCAAACAAUUAUUUCUUUCCACUCGCCUUUCCCUUGUGUUGGGUUAUGUUUGGGUGUAUUUACCUAGUUUGGGUUUAAUGGAAUAUAGUUAAGGGAUUCAUAGUCAGUUCUAUGCAUAGAUAAGUCACCGAGAGUCAUCCAGGUUAUAAGAAUGGCUUCUAAGAGCACUCCUACCUCCAAUGUCACCUUGCCAUGAAGCAUAACACAAACAUCUAGGACUAAAACCAAGUCUGUAGCCUAGUCUGUAGAAAAGUCUUCCAGUCAAUUCUUCCAAUUGGAUAACAUGUGAAAUUGUAAGCUGGAGUCUUUGGUUCUCAUCAACACCUAGUUAAAAUGGAAAUCCUAGCCUGUCGGGAAUAUGUUCAGUAAUGCAAUGUAUACACAUACAAAUGAACCAUUCAUUUUUUUAAAAAUAGGAAUGGCACAAAAUAGAAUUUGCCAGAAUUCCUGUGUGUGUGGAGCAAAGCCUGUAGCAGUAUUACAGCCAGCCAGUAUGUCUUUGGGAGAAGUUAAAUUUUAUACUUCUAUGAUUGGAUUGAGUUUUAACAUAUCUAACGCCUCUUGUUCUGACAAAUUCUGGUUGUUCUAGACAAGAUGGCAUGCAAAGCUGGCACUAAGGCAAUGAAAUGACCCUGAAAUCUUACCAUUCAUAUGUGAAAGAAAUUUAAUUGAGGUUUUACCAGAUUUGAAAACAAUACUAAAAACUGACAUGUCAUAACCAGUCAUGAAUUGUAAUGCAGAAAUUUUAAACUAUUAAUAACAAUAAAAAUGUUGAUUGACCAUACUUUAUGAAAGACUUAAUUAUCUUUCUAUUCUUUUUAGAAAAUGUUAUUUUCUAAAAACAAUGACAUGAGAAGAGGCAAUGAAACUUUGUGGAGCCAGAAAGGGUAGGAAAAAAGUGAUAUAAAGAUACACCAGACAGUUAAUUAUUAGUUAAUUAAUAUAUAAAUGUAGAAAUAAAAUUAUUUGUUUUAAUUUUGUUAUAUCUCUGGUAUUUGUCAACUUUUAAAAAUCUAUAACUCCCCCCCUGGAAACAAAUAAUCCAAUUGGAAAUGGGCAAAAGACAUGAACAGAUAUUUCUCCAGAAAAAAACAUACAGAUGGCCAACAGAUACAUGAAAAGAUGCUCAACAUCACUCAUCAUCAGGGAAAUGCAAAUCAAAGCCACAAUGAAUGGGGUUAUGGACAUUGGGGAGGGUAUGUGCUUUGGUAAAUGCUGUGAAGUGUGUAAACGUGGCAAUUCACAGACCUGUACCCCUGGGGAUAAAAAUAUAUGUCUAUAAAAAAUUAAAAAUUAAAAAAAAUUAAAAUUAAAAUUAAAAAAUUAAAAAAAUAAAUUUUAAGUAUUUAAAAAAAAAGCCACAUUUGUAGUACCAUGUAUGGGACUGGAAAAGAUUAUGCUGAGUGAAAUAAGUCAAGCAGAGAGAGUCAAUUAUCAUAUGGUUUCACUUAUUUGUGGAGCAUAACAAAUAGCAUGGAGGACAUGGGGAGUUGGAGAGGAGAAGGGAGUUGGGGGAAAUUGGAAGGGGAGGUGAAUCAUGAGAGACUAUGGACUCUGAAAAACAAUCCGAGGGGUUUGAAGUGGCGGGGGGGUGGGAGGUUGGGGUACCAGGUGGUGGGUAUUAUAGAGGGCACAGAUUGCAUGGAGCACUGGGUGUGGUGCAAAAAUAAUGAAUACUGUUAUGCUGAAAAUAAAUUAAUUUAAUUUAAAGAAAAAUAAUAAAAUGUUGGAACCCAAAAAAAAAAAAAAAAGCCACAAUGAAAUAUCACCUCACACCCAUCAGAAUGGCUCAAAUCAGAAAUAAAAGGAACAGCAAGUGUUGAUGAGGAUGUAGAGAAAAAGGAACCCUGUGCACUAUUGGUGGGAAUGCAAACUGGUGCACCCAUUGUGGAAAGCAGUAUGGAGGUUCCUGAAAAAAAUUAAAAAUAGAAUUACCAUGUGCCCCAUUAAUUCCAUUACUGGGUAAUUACCCAAAGAAAAUAAAAACACUAAUUUGAAAAGAUGUAUGCAUCUUAUGUUUAUUGCGGCAUUAUUUAUAAUAGCCAACAUAUGGAAGCACCUCAUGUCCAACAAUAUGUGGAUAAGGAAUAUGUGAGAGAGAUAUAUAUAUAAUGGAAUAAUACAUAGCCAUUAAAAGGAAUGAAAUCUUAUCAUUUGUGACAAUAUAGAUGGUUCUAGAUAUAGAUAUAUAGAUAUAUAUAGUUAUAUAAUGGAAUAUUUAUAUAGAUAUAUAAUGGAAUAUUACACAGCCAUGAAAAGGAAUGAAAGCUUAUCAUUUGUGACAAUAUAGAUGGUUCUAGAAAGUGUAAUCGUAAGUGAAAUAAGUCAGAGAAAGACAAAUACCAAAUGAUUUCACUCAUAUGUGAAAUUUAAGAAACAAAACAAAGGAAAAAAGAGACAAAAAAACCCCAGACUCUUAAAUCUAGAGAAUAAACUGGUGAUUACCAGAGAGCAGGUGGGUGGGUGAGAUGGGUAAAGUGGGUAUAAGGGAUUGAGAGAACACUUAUCAUGUUGAGCACUGAGUGAUAUAGAAUUGUUUAAACUCUAUAUAUUGUACAUCUGCAACAAUAUAACACUGUACAUCAAUUCCGUUGGAAUUUUAAAAAAUAAAAAUCUGUAAUUUGUUAUAUCUUUUCCAGUUCUUAAUAAAUAUUUAUUUCUGUGCCUAA